rnacentral:misc_RNA from 1 species
GGUCCAGGCCAUGCCAGGAGAGCAACCGAAGAGGGAAAGAACAAUAAGCCAAGACAUGAAAACCAUGAGCAUAUAGGUAGUCCACACACCAGGGUACGUGAACCACUCGGUGUUCCUAUUCAAAUCCGUCGGUGGCACCGCUUUCACAUACAUUCUAUGUAUCGGUGACGAUAAAAAUGCGAACUUCUCACAGAGAAAGAAAUUACGAUUUCCCAGAAACAGGAAGGAUGACCCAGUAAAAGAUUAAGAUCAGAUAUGACGAUUUCUGGUCUCUCUCUUUAGCUUCUCGGGUCGUGAGGUUGCAGAAUGCGAAAGAGAGGAAAGAAAGAGAGACCUUUCAAAGUGGGUAUUAUGGGCAGGGUUUGAG